rnacentral:rRNA from 1 species
GACGAACGCUGGCGGCGUGCUUAACACAUGCAAGUCGAGCGGUAAGGCCCUUUCGGGGGUACACGAGCGGCGAACGGGUGAGUAACACGUGGGUGACCUGCCCUCAGCUCUGGGAUAAGCCUGGGAAACCGGGUCUAAUACUGGAUAUGACUCCAUGACGCAUGUUGUGGGGUGGAAAGCCUUGUGCGGCUGAGGAUGGGCCCGCGGCCUAUCAGCUUGUUGGUGGGGUGAUGGCCUACCAAGGCGACGACGGGUAGCCGGCCUGAGAGGGCGACCGGCCACACUGGGACUGAGACACGGCCCAGACUCCUACGGGAGGCAGCAGUGGGGAAUCUUGCGCAAUGGGCGAAAGCCUGACGCAGCGACGCCGCGUGAGGGACGACGGCCUCGGUUGUAA